rnacentral:rRNA from 1 species
GACGAACGCUGGCGGCGUGCUUAACACAUGCAAGUCGAGCGGUAAGGCCCUUUCGGGGGUACACGAGCGGCGAACGGGUGAGUAACACGUGGGUGACCUGCCCUCAGCUCUGGGAUAAGCCCGGGAAACUGGGUCUAAUACCGGAUAUGACUCCACGGUGCAUGUCGUGGGGUGGAAAGCCUUGUGCGGCUGAGGAUGGGCCCGCGGCCUAUCAGCUUGUUGGUGGGGUGAUGGCCACCAAGGCGACGACGGUAGCCGGCCUGAGAGGGCGACCGGCCACACUGGGACUGAGACACGGCCCAGACUCCUACGGGAGGCAGCAGUGGGAAUCUUGCGCAAUGGGCGAAAGCCUGACGCAGCGACGCCGCGUGAGGGAUGACGGCCUCGG